rnacentral:rRNA from 1 species
AACGAACGCUGGCGGCAGGCCUAACACAUGCAAGUCGAGCGCGCCCUUCGGGGUGAGCGGCGGACGGGUGAGUAACGCGUGGGAACGUGCCCUUCUCUGCGGAAUAGCCUCGGGAAACUGAGAGUAAUACCGCAUACGCCCUUUGGGGGAAAGAUUUAUCGGAGAAGGAUCGGCCCGCGUUGGAUUAGGUAGUUGGUGGGGUAAUGGCCCACCAAGCCGACGAUCCAUAGCUGGUUUGAGAGGAUGAUCAGCCACACUGGGACUGAGACACGGCCCAGACUCAUCGGGGAGGAAGCGGGGGGGAUUUUUAGAAAAGGGGGGCACCCUGAACAACGCCAGGCGGGGGGAGUAAAGAGGGCUUUGGGGUUGAAAACCCCUUCCAGUGGGGAAAAAAAGGAGGGACCAGGAAAAAGAGGCCCGGCCAACCCCGGUC